UCCAGACACAAAUCUACUCAAGUAUUUUGGAGGAAGUAUAGUUCAAGGUGAACAAACAAACAUUUGAGGACUUGCUUCUUAUACAGCAUUGAUCCAAACAAAUUUGGUCGAGAUAGGUCAAGGAAAGAGAAGAAAAGACUCCUGUAGAAAAGGAGUUGAUACUGUUUGAGGAGGAAAGUUUCCUAUGAGGAGCCAGCAUCCAUUGGCACAUCCCUCACUAUGCCCACUGCUGUUGAAAGGAAGAUGAAGAGUGAGUAAGAGCAUUUCUUGCUCUUUGCAAAAGUACGGUGAAUAGAUCAUGCCUCAAAAAAAGCAUUAGCACACCAUGGGCAUUGGGCCUUAACAGCUGAAGGAUAGUGAAGGUAUCUGAAAGUCAAAGAAAAGGAGCUGAAUCUGAAAGUAACAAGAGCAACUCUGUCAAUGCUGUUGAGAAAAUAUCUCCAAUGACCUGAUGUGUUCAUCAUGUGUUCCUUACGCAGGCAUGAAAGGCAGCUAAAUCGAGGGUGGCUGGAGCAUAGCAGGAUGCCAGAAGAUUCCCCGAAUGGUCCUUACGAGCCGUAGACCAAAGCAGGAUUGGCACAGAGCUGAUGUGGCUGACUGUCAGCCGCUCAGAUUUCCCGAUCAAAC
rnacentral:lncRNA from 1 species